GCUGACAGUCUUUAUGGGAUUACUAUGUCCUCACUGACAGGUUAGUAGUCUUUAUGGGAUUACUAUGUCCUCACUGACAGUCUUUAUGGGAUUACUAUGUCCUCACUGACAGUCUUUAUGGGAUUACUAUGUCCUCACUGACAGGUUAGUAGUCUUUAUGGGAUUACUAUGUCCUCACUGACAGGUUAGUAGUCUUUAAGGGAUUACUAUGUCCUCUCUGACAGUCUUUAUGGGAUUACUAUGUCCUCACUGACAGGUUAGUAGUCUUUAUGGGAUUACUAUGUCCUCACAGACAGGUUAGUAGUCUUUAUGGGAUUACUAUGUCCUCUCUGACAGUCUUUAUGGGAUUACUGUGAUUUAUAGCAUCACACAGAAAUGUGGUUGAAGAAAACUCUUCCUGAACUCAGUAGACCACUCAGUAGACCACAUCCAUGAUUGUUCCAUUUGGUGAGCACUCACAGAACUUGACAUUGUUCCUCUCUCCUCUGUGUCUCCAGGUUUACAGUGGGGAACCCCUCUAUGCGUCGGCCGCCCCCACUCAGCCCCCGCGACCCUUCCAGUGACCUCUACGACUCGUGUGUAGACAACUGGGUGGACCCCCAGAUCUAUGUUAUCUUUAACGACGACCAGAGCUACCCCUACUUUAUCAUCCAGUACGAAGAGGUUCCCAGUACCGUGGCUAUCUGACACAGAGCAGACUGAACCAAACCCAGUACUGUGGCUGAGAACAGACCAGACAGAACCAGACCCAGUACUGUGGCUGAGAACAGACCAGACAGAACCAGACCCAGUACUGUGGCUGAGAACAGACCAGACAGAACCAAACCCAGUACUGUGGCUGAGAACAGACCAGACCGAACCAAACCAGAGCUACCUCAUACUGCAUCAUCAGUAUGAAGCGUUAACCAGUACUGUCAACAUCUGAGAUCUAUUGGUUCCUCCCUACACCCGUCAACCACAGCAGCUUCCAUCUGUAUGCUGUUGGUUUGAAGCCCUUAAAUUGGACAGUGGAUGGCGUUUCAUUUGGAUACAAUGCUGUGUGAAUAGACAUUAGCGUCUGCCAUUUUGGGUCUGAACAGUUUCAUUUGGACACAAUGCUGUGUGAAUAGACAUUAGCGUCUGCCAUUUUGGGUCUGAACAGUUUCAUUUGGACACAAUGCUGUGAGAAUAGACAUUAGCGUCUGCCAUUUUGGGUCUGAACAGUUUAAUUUGGACACUGCUGUGAGAAUAGACAUUAGCGUCUGCCAUUUUGGGUCGGAAAAGUGGACAGUUUAAUUUGGACCCAAUGUUGUGUGAAUGGAUAAUUGCCUUGGCGUCUGCCAUUUUGGAUCCCCAUCGGGACUGAACAGUGGACAGAGUCACUGAGACUCAGUGCUGGAGUGACCACAUUACGUUUCUGUUUAAAACAUAACCCCAAUCUCUCUCUCUCUCUAAGACCUCUUUCUCUCAGAGGGCAGACAUAUUUGGUGAGAUAAGCUACGUACGUUCUUCUUGUUUAUAUUUGAACUGUGUGCCUUUUGUUCAUAAAAAUGUUUAUUUAUGUUAGUUAAUGUAACAUUGAGUAAAUAAAUAAUCUAAAAGAGAAAAUCAUAGCGCUGUCCAGGCUGCUUUUAUUGCCCAGUUUUAUAUUUCAUUGGCAGUUGAGUACACUCUUUCUACAACCUCAGCAAACACAGGUCCUGUUUUAUGGGACUACUGUAAGUAGCCUAGAUGCAGCCAAGACAGAAAGAUAAACGCAGUCAUAAGAGCAUAAUAUACAAGGAAUUUCUCCAAGCUGCUAAUGAGAACCUUGACGACCUUGCACCUAGCCGGUGGGAAUUCUGGUGGGGUGACCCCACCCAGGCAGUGGCAGUGGUGGCAACACUGGAAUCCAUGGUGAGGGGGGUGGGUCUCAGAACCAUCAGCUAGGACUUGACAUUGGUUAAUCAAACCUUCCAUUUUUGGUCAAUGUUGCAUGCCCUCUCAAACAGCUACAACUGUAUUUGCAUUCACACAUGAAGUCUUCUCUUGAGUUGGGCUCAGGGAUGGAACAACUGUUGAACGUCUGAGCUUGUGGCUGUUUGUGGUGGGAGAGGAGUCGAGUGUGUGUGUGUGUGUGUGUGCGUGUGUGCGUGCGUGUGUGUGUGUGCGUGUGUGCGUGUGUGUGUCCCACAUCUGUUGCUAUGGGGUAAUUCAAGGGUUUUUCUUUAUUUUUACUAUUUUCCACAUUGUAGGAUUAUAGUGAAGACAUUAACAUUAUGAAUGGUUCUGGGAUUUUUGCUCACCGUUCUUGUGAUCAUUUUGACCCCACGGGGUGAGAUCUUGCGUGGAGCCCCAGAUCGAGGGAGAUUAUCAGUGGUCUUGUAUGUCUUCCAUUUCCUAAUAAUUGCUCCCACAGUUGAUUUCUUCAAACCAAGCUGCUUACCUAUUGCAGAUUCAGUCUUCCCAGCCUGGUGCAGGUCUACAAUUUUGUUUCUGGUUUCCUUUGACAGUUCUUUGGUCUUGGCCAUAGUGGAGUUUGGAGUGUGACUGUUUGAGGUUGUGGACAGGUGUCUUUUAUACUGAUAACAAGUUCAAACAGGUGCCAUUAAUACAGGUAACGAGUGGAGGACAGAGGAGCCUCUUAAAGAAGAAGUUACAGGUCUGUGAGAGCCAGAAAUCUUGCUUAUUUGUAGGUGACCAAAUACUUGUCUUCCACCAUAAUUUGCAAAUAAAUUCAUAAAAAAUCCCACAAUGUGAUUUUUUUAUAUUUUUUUUCUCAUUUUGUCUGUCAUAGUUGAAGUGUACCUAUGAUGAAAAUUACAGGCCUCUCUCAUCUUUUUAAGUGGGAGAACUUGCACAAUUGGUGGCUGACUAAAUGCUUUUUUGCCCCACUGUACAUGCAGGUUUAAAUACCUCUGACCUAGUGAGAUAUACAUGGAGGAGGUUUAAUAUCCUGACUUAGUGAGAUAUACAUGGAGGAGGUUUAAUCUCCUGACCUAGUGAGAUAUACAUGGAGGAGGUUCAAUCUCCUGACCUAGUGAGAUAUACAUGGAGGAGGUUUAAUACCCUGACCUAGUGAGAUAUACAUGGAGGAGGUUUAAUACCCUGACCUAGUGAGAUAUACAUGGAGGAGGUUUAAUACCCUGACCUAGUGAGAUAUACAUGGAGGAGGUUUAAUACCCUGACCUAGUGAGAUAUACAUGGAGGAGGUUUAAUACCCUGACCUAGUGAGAUAUACAUGGCGGAGGCUCAAUCAAGCUACUUUCUCAUGUCAUUCAAAUCAAAUGUUUUUAGUCACAUGCGCUGAAUACAAGCCCCUAACCAACAAUGUAGUUUAAAAAAAUACGGAUAAGAAAACAAAAGUAACAAGAAAUUAAAGAGCAGCAGUAAAAUAACAAUCUCGCUUGCACCAAAAGUUUAAAAAGGGUUGCUAGGAGACAGAAUGCGGUCUGAGAUAUACAAUGCAUUCAGAAAGGGUUGCUAGGAGACAGAAUGCGGUCUGAGAUAUACAAUGCAUUCAGAAAGGGUUGCUAGGAGACAGAAUGCGGUCUGAGAUAUACAAUGCAUUCAGAAAGGGUUGCUAGGAGACAGAAUGCGGUCUGAGAUAUACAAUGCAUUCAGAAAGGGAUCGGAUCCCUUCCCUGUUCCCACAUUUUGUUACGUUAUAGCCUUAUUCUAAAAUGUAUUAAAAUAAUUUUUCCCCCUCAUCAAUAUACACACAAUACCACAUAAUGACAAAGCGAAAAAAGGUUUUUAGAUUUUUUUUGCAAAUGUUCAGAAAACAAACAGAAACCUUUUUUACAUAUAAGUAUUCAGACCCUUUGCUAUGAGAGUCGAAAUUGAUCUCAGGUGCAUCCUGUUUCCAUUGAUCAUCCUUGAGAUGUUUCUACAACUUGAUUGGAGUCCACCUGUGGUAAAUUCAAUUAUUUGGGCAUGUUUUGAAAAGGCACACACCUGUCUUAUAUAAGGUCCCGCAGUUGACAGUGCAUGUCAGAGCAAAAAUCAAAACAUGAAGUCGAAGGAAUUAUCCGUAGAAACAGGAUUGUGUCGAGGCACAGAUCUCUGGAAGGAUACCAAAAAAUGUCUGCUGCAUUGAAGGUCCCCAAGAACAUGGUGGCCUCCAUCAUUCUUAAAUGAAAGAAGUUUGGAACCACCAAGACUCUUCCUAGAGCUGGCUGCCUGGCCAAACAGCAAUCGGAGGAGAAGGGCCUUGGUCAGGGAGGUGACCAAGAACCCGAUGGUCACUCUGACAGAGCUCCAGAGUUUCUGUGUGGAAAUGGGAGAACCUUCCAGAAGGAGAACCAUCUCUGCAGCGCUCCACCAAUUAGGCCUUUAUGGUAGAGUGACCAGAUGGAAGCCACUGCUCAGUAAAAGGCACAUGACGGCCCGCUUGGAGUUUGCCAAAAGACACCUAAAGGACUCAGACCAUGAGAAACAAGAUUUGCUGGUCUGAUGAAACGGUAGGGACUAGUCAAGAUCGAGGGAAAGAUGAACGGAGCAAAGUACAGAGAGAUCCUUGAUGAAAAUCUGCUCCAGAGUGCUCAGGACCUCAGACUGGGUCUAAGGAAAUGAUGCAGACAAUUACAUUGAUGAAAGCCACAAGCUAUCUGAAAUAUUAAAGCUGAUCUUCCCCUAAAUUAAAAAAAGAAAGAGUUUAAGGGUACAUGAGAUUAGUGAUAAUGCCAGAGAAGCUAGUGUUUGGAAGAUAUAUUUCCUUGGUGGCCGGUAAACCGUGCCAAUAUAUCCUCCAAACACAGGAUUUGAGGGCAUUGUCACUUUUAUACAACAGGUUACCGACAUAUUAAAAUAAUAACUGACAGAUUUUCACUAGAAACUUUAUUUUUAUUAAUUUGUUCAUACUAUUUUUUUGUCCCGCUCGCUAUCCUCAAACUCCCUGUCAUAAAUCGACCAAGGCGCAGCAUGCAUGUAGUUCCACAUCUUUUAAUGAAAGUGAAAUAACCAAAAAACAAACAGGUAAACAGCAAAGGACCGAGGUGCACACAAACACUCACGGAAAAAUAAUUACCCACAAAACACAGGUGGGAAAAGGCAGACAGCUGCCUCUGAUUGGGAACCAUACCAGGCCAAACACAUAGAAAUAGAAAACAUAGAACACAAAACAUAGAAUGCCCACCCCCAACUCACGCCCUGAGCAAACCAAAAUAGACAUAAAAAAGGAACUAAGGUCAGGACGUGACAAUUUUGUCCUUCCACUAGAUAAAGUUCCGACACAAAUCUAGGGUUUCUUCCCAAGCCGGCCGGCUGGUCAUUCAUCCUUUCGUUUCAAAUCAAAUGUUAUUGGUCACAUACACAUGGUUAGCAGAUGUUAUUGGUCACAUACACAUGGUUAGCAGAUGUUAAUGGUCACAUACACAUGGUUAGCAGAUGUUAAUGGUCACAUACACAUGGUUAGCAGAUGUUAAUGGUCACAUACACAUGGUUAGCAGAUGUUANNNNNNNNNNGGGGGGCCCAUGUGUUAAGAGUCAGUGUGGAGGAGGUGUUGUCAUGCCGUGACCUGUCAAAGAGAGAGAAGAGGCACAUAACACUCCUGGUGAAAACUCUGCUC
rnacentral:lncRNA from 13 species